rnacentral:lncRNA from 1 species
GGGAUUUCGAAAAAUGUUUGACAUGUCAUUUCCAUCUAACUUUUACAGCUUUUAAGAAUUCAAAUUCAUUAAUGUUCUCCAUCAAACUAACCUCCUUUUAACCAUUACUUUUGUAUUUCCUUGAGCUAUCUAUGCAACACAUAAGUGAAAAUAUCGUUUUAAACUCCGUCUUCAAUGAAUACUGUCACGUUGAAUGAAUCUCACCAGUCAUCUGUAGAAGUCCAUGAAAAUGUAGUUAUCUAUGUUCUUUAUUUCUUUACUCUUUUUCUACCAGCAGUUUCUCAAACUCUCUUCACAAUUUGCGACACUUCAACUACCUAUGUGUUUAAAACUAAGGCAAAUACAAAGUGAAAUCCUCACAGUUUCAACAACCAAGAAGUACCAUUGAUGAACAUAAUGUGGAAACAAUAAAGCUGAAAUCUUGGAAUUUGAUAGACACCCGAAUGGAAACCAAUCAAAAUAAAGCUAAACAAGCAGAAAAAAAGCUCAGUUUCAGCAACAAAGAGGUACUGCUUAUGAAACAUAGUGAGGGGAGAAUAAUAAAGUUGAAAUCUUGGUCUGUGCGGGUGGGAGGUUGCAGGUAUCACGUGGAUUCAGUUCAGGUGCGCGCAAGCUGGCCUGAACACCACGAUUAUAAGAAAAAAUCUAAAAUCUUGGAAUUUGAUAGACACCCGAAUGGAAACCAAUCAAAAUAAAGCUAAUCAAGCAGAAAAAAAGGCUCGGUUUCAGCAACAAAGAGGUACUGCUUAUGAAACAUAGUGAGGGGAGAAUAAUAAAGUUGAAAUCUUGGUCUGUGCUGGUGGGAGGUUGCAGGUAACAAGUGGAUUUAGUCCAGGUGCACACAAGCUGGCCUGAACACCGCGAUGAUAAGAAAAAAUCUAAAAUCUUGGAAUUUGAUAGAAAC